rnacentral:rRNA from 1 species
AACGAACGCUGGCGGCAGGCUUAACACAUGCAAGUCGAACGGUUCCUUCGGGGACAGUGGCAGACGGGUGAGUAACGCGUGGGAAUCUACCCAGUCCUACGGGAUAGCUCCGGGAAACUGGAAUUAAUACCGUAUACGCCCUUUUGGGGAAAGAUUUAUCGGGAUUGGAUGAGCCCGCGUAAGAUUAGCUAGUUGGUGGGGUAAUGGCCUACCAAGGCGACGAUCUUUAGCUGGUCUGAGAGGAUGAUCAGCCACACUGGGACUGAGACACGGCCCAGACUCCUACGGGAGGCAGCAGUGGGGAAUAUUGGACAAUGGGCGUAAGCCUGAUCCAGCCACGCCGCGUGAGUGAUGAAGGCCUUAGGGUUGUAAAGCUCUUUCACCGGAGAAGAUAAUGACGGUAUCCGGAGAAGAAGCCCCGGCUAACUUCGUGCCAGCCGCCGCGGUAAAAC